CAAGUCGAGCGCGUAGCAAUACGAGCGGCGAACGGGUGAGUAACGCGUGAACAAUCUGCCUUAAAGUGGGGGAUAACCAUUCCAACGGAUGGCUAAUACCGCAUAGGGUAAAGAGAGGGCAUCCUUUUUUUACGAAAGCAUUUAUGCGCUUUAGGAUGAGUUCGCGUCCCAUUAGCCAGUUGGCGGGGUAACGGCCCACCAAGGCGACGAUGGGUAGCCGGCCUGAGAGGGUGCCCGGCCACAUUGGGACUGAGAUACGGCCCAGACUCCUACGGGAGGCAGCAGUAGGGAAUUUUGCGCAAUGGGGGAAACCCUGACGCAGCAACGCCAUGUGUGGGAUGAAGCAUUUCGGUGUGUAAACCACUGUCGGCAGGGAAUAAGGCCCGCAUUUAUGCGGGGGUGAAUGUACCUGCAAAGGAAGCCCCGGCUAACUUCGUGCCAGCAGCCGCGGUAAUACGAGGGGGGCAAGUGUUGUUCGGAAUUACUGGGCGUAAAGGGAGCGUAGGCGGGCUCUUAAGUUGGAUGUUUAAAACCGGGGCCCAACCCCGGCGUGGCAUCCAAAACUGGGAGUCUUGAAUGGGACAGAGGCCAGUGGAAUUGGAGGUGUAGCGGUGGAAUGCGUAGAGAUCUCCAAGAACACCAGUUGCGAAGGCGGCUGGCUGGGUCCACAUUGACGCUGAGGCUCGAAAGCAUGGGGAGCAAACAGGAUUAGAUACCCUGGUAGUCCAUGCCGUAAACGAUGAACACUAGGUUUUGACUCCGUCAACGGGUCAGAGCCGCAGCUAACGCGUUAAGUGUUCCGCCUGGGGAAUACGGUCGCAAGACUGAAACUCAAAGGAAUUGACGGGGGCCCGCACAAGCGGUGGAGCAUGUGGUUUA
rnacentral:rRNA from 1 species